CUUCACACCAACGCCCCAGUGAGCAGACGGAACUGGAAGCGGAAGGUUUCUGUGGGCCUGGCUGCAAGUGCUUGGCCAGCGGGGGUAACCAGGCGUCCCGGGGAGAAUGUGGAGCUUGGAGGAUCACAAAGGUCAUUUGGGUUCUGGAAUUUCAGGAACAAACCAAGGUCUCAUUAUCUGCCCACAGAAACUGGUGAUUUGCUUGAAGGUCAGAGGAGAGAUCAUGAGAUUAAGUUAGAGGAAUGGAUCGCGAAAAUUGUGCUCUGCCCUCGCAGGUGGACCGGACGAGUGCUUCCCUUGCAGGCCAGGCCUGGCGGUCAUCCCCUAUUGUUCUGCAGUGCCUGCCACCCUGCCCGGCUCCGAGUGGGCGCUUGGUAACUAUCUGUUGAUGAGUGAAGCCUCCUGGUGGUGCCUGGGAUGGUGCCUAGUGGGCAUGUGAUCAAUGUCUGAUGACCGGAAUGCAUCGAAGUCAGCAACGUGGACCAGUGGCAACAGCUAAAAAGACCGAGCCGCAGUUAAUAAAGCCCUCCCAGACCUGGACAUGA